rnacentral:rRNA from 1 species
UACAGAGGUCCUAAGCGUUGUUCGGAUUCAUUGGGCGUAAAGGGUGCGUAGGUGGCGCUGUAAGUCGGGUGUGAAAUUUCGGAGCUUAACUCCGAAACUGCAUUCGAUACUGCGGUGCUUGAGGACUGGAGAGGAGACUGGAAUUCAUGGUGUAGCAGUGAAAUGCGUAGAGAUCAUGAGGAAGACCAGUGGCGAAGGCGGGUCUCUGGACAGUUCCUGACACUGAGGCACGAAGACCAGGGGAGCAAACGGG